rnacentral:tRNA from 1 species
GCGUCUAUAGCUUAAUUGGAUAGAGCAUUGGCCUCCGGAGCCAAUGGUUCCGGUUCAAGUCCGGAUAGACGCA